UUAAGCUGUGUUGCAUCAUAAUGACAUAGCAUAACCUCCUGCUCGUUAAAGUCAAGCCUACUGAAGGAGAUCUGAAUUCAGUUGAAAUCAGCAGCCUAGUUCAAACAUGGACAGCAACUGAAGUCUGCCACAGAAAGUCCUCACAUGUAACUUUAAGCUAGUGUUCCUUGACCUGUUGCCCUCCAGAUGAAUUCAAAUACUUCAGCACAUGGAAUUUCCAGGUAAUAUGGCUCAGAACACUCGGAACUUUAGUCUAACACCUCUGAAGAACACCAGGAGCCAAGAUGAAAACUAAAUUGCUACACUUUCAGACUGGCCCUAGAUGGAAUUCUGAAAGAAAAAAAAAUGAUUGAAAGCUUCUUAUAGAUGUUCCUACCCGAAGCAAUGUGCAAAAAAUUCAGGCAAGAACUGUGACUUGGAAACUAUCUGAAACUUGUCUUAUGAUAAUGGGAGAGUUUUCCUUUUAUGAAAUUUGAAUUUAACCUAUAUGCCAAUGAAGAUGGAACAUAUUAGAAAACAGGAAAGAAAUACCAGACUGGGAGUAAGGGCAGAAAUGGAAAUAUCCUAUAGGAAGAAUGCAGAAGCUCAGAGUUUGUGAAAGGCCAUGAAACAUUCAAAUUUAGUUCAAGUUUAAGGUUAUUUAUGAAAUCUUCCCCCACUUUUUCAUGAAGGGGCCCAAGACACCUAUGAACCAUUUCUUCCCUUUUAAUCUGGCUGGCCUACUUGAGAGGGGCUCUUCAAGUUCCUUUGGUUAAUGAGGUGAAGGGAGUUGGGGCUAGAAGAACUCUCUGGUAGUGCCCUGACUUUCUGGAAUGGUUCGCUCCACAGUCCAGCUUACCCUGACUUUAAGCCCCCUUUGGAAAGGAGGUAAUAUGUGUUUUUCCAACUGGAAACUAGCAUCUAUACUUCUUAUCAAAUGGGCAGGGAACUUUUAUGAGCUAUAAUGAUGGUGGCUUUUUUAGAUUUUGCUUUAUUAAGUGCCUAGAUAUGUGAAGUUAUGAGCACAUAGAAACUCUGCAAAUAUGUAAACAAACAAGCAAACAAGAAAAUAAAUAAAUAAAUAAAUUAGGUUUCCUGGACCUAAGAAACGUUUAAUUAAA